UACAGAGGUGGCAAGCGUUGUUCGGAAUUACUGGGCGUAAAGGGCGCGUAGGCGGCCUGUUAAGUCCCGUGUGAAAUCCCUCGGCUCAACCGAGGAACUGCACGGGAAACUGGCGGGCUUGAGUUCGGGAGAGGAAAGCGGAAUUCCGGGUGUAGCGGUGAAAUGCGUAGAUAUCCGGAGGGACACCGGUGGCGAAGGCGGCUUCCUGGACCGACACUGACGCUGAGGCGCAAAAGCUAGGGGAGGAAACGGG
rnacentral:rRNA from 1 species